UCGGUCCACUCGUUUAGCAUUU
rnacentral:siRNA from 1 species